GGACUUCUCAAGCUCCAGGGCUGGAUGCUUGGCCCCAACCCAGCUCCCAUGGCAGGGGUCCUCCAAAAGGAAAGACCCAAGAUACUGCAGCCAAAAAGUCUCAUGACUCAGAUGAAUUCCUGAGACAAACACAGAAGGAAGCACCCGGAGGACAAGUGAUGGACCAAAAGGCUUUUCAGGAGGAGGAACACUCAGGGAGAAGCAGUGGCUCAUUGGCAGCCCCUGCUGUGGGAAGGAAGGCGAUGCCAGACACGGGCACAGGCACAGCAGAUGCAGCCGGCACCACAAGACCUGUUACCGAUGCCCAGGAUGGCCUCGGAAGGGGUUUCUGUCAGGGAACAGUCUGCUGGCUAGGGUUACUGGGAGGCGUGCUUUCUUUGGAGCUUGUCUUCAUGUUGGGCUGCUUUGGAAUCGGGUAUUCCUGGAAUAGAAAACAGAGCGCCUUGGGACAGGAGUUGGAAGACAGUGGCUGCACCUCACACCGACAGCGUGAGCAGCUUCUCCAGCAGCAGUAACGGCCUGGACAGCCCUCUCAAGUGUUCUGUGAAGAGGACCCCAGAACAACCGUCGACAAG